UUUUAUGCCUUGAAAUGUGCAGGCAAGGGAUAUGAGCCCCAGUCACUCCGGGGAAAAACCCUCAUGGAGUAUCAGCCUUUGUGAAAGGGAAUCUGGAAGUAUCUGGCUACCAAGGCCACUGACUUCACAAGGGCUUCACUGGCUGUCCAGCUUUAGAUCAGUGCUCAGCAGCCACUAGGAACCUUGGCAAAGGACUUUAUGCCGGUCUCGUUCAAAUGGUCCCAAAGUUCCUCCAAGCUCUGCCUUCUUGCCCUGGGGUCCCAUAGGCCUGAGUCCUAAUGCCCAGAUGUCCAUAUUUGGAUCCUUCUCUUUCCUUUACUGUCACUGUAUUCCAUCCCCCACCCAUCACUUCUUGAUCCUGGUGUUCGUUCAAUGAGUCAUUCCUUCACCAAAUGCCUUGAGUGCCAACUGUGUGUCAGCACUAUCACCAACAUAGAGGAUACAACAGGAGCAAGAAAGAUAUAGUUCCUUUUAUUGCAGCCUGGUAGGAGAGAGACAAUCAAGUGACCUUCCAACUAACAUAUGAUAUAAUAUUGGGUCAUGACAAACACUAUGGAAUAAAGCAGGGCGAGGGCCAGAGGAGAACAGGGACAAGAAGGGCAGUCAGGGAAAGCCUCUCUAGGAAGCAGUAUUGCACAGAGGUUCCAACAAGGUAAUGAAAUCAACCUGAGGCCAUCUGGGAAAAGAGUGAUCCAAUUAGAGGGGACAUCCAGUGCAAAGGUCCUGAGGUGGGAGCUUGCUUAGCAUAUAUGAGGACCGAAAAGGAGGCACCAGAGGAGCAUGGAGGGAUAGAAGUCAGACAGAGACAAGACCAGGGGGAGUAGUGGCCAUUUUGUGAGGACAUUGGAGGUGAUGAAAAGGUCUCUGGAUCUUUUUCUGAGUAUGAGUGGACAUCACUGGAAGCAUUUUGAGCAAAAAUGAUCUGGGUUAUAUUUAAGAGGGUCAGUUCAGGUGCUCUAUGGAAACUGCCUAUAGAGUUCAAUGGUGAAGUGCAGCUACCCUUGAGGACUCCUGUGGGCAUAGUCAGUCAGUGAGAGCUGAGGGUGUCACAGACAGUAUUGCUGACAAGGAGGAGGGGAGCCUAACCUUAGCAGCUGUGUGAUUCCAGACAAGUCAGUGGUUUCUCAGAGCCGCUCUCUGCCUCGGACAAUCCCAUUAUGACCUCAGUUUCUAAUAGGAACACAACAAGAUAACAUAUGCAACCAGCUUUGCAUAGUGCCUGGCUUCUAUCAGGACUGUGUUUCUGCCUCCACUAGUGUCUCUACCUUUCCAGCAGAAUCCCUUCCCAUCAUGGCUGUUGCAGCUGGAAAAUACUCCCUCCAAGGAGGCUGGAAGUUUUUUAGUGAGAGCAACUCAUGGGCAAACAUAGGAAAACUCAAGAAUCUCUUACAUCAGGACCUAAAAACCAUCACAGAAAAGAAAUCCUGGCACUUUUAUGGCUCCCUAAAAACCCUUUAGAAACACACGUGGUAUUUUUCUCUCAAGGCCCUCUGUGGUUGAACCAAUUAGCCAACUUCAAGGCCAGGAACAACAUAGAUCUCCAGAGGCUGGUGGCCCCCAGAGAAGGAAGAACUGCCUGAGUGGGAGUGGACGCUGACCAUGAGCUGGAUACAGGGCUCCAGGGUAGCAGGUGGGCAACCCUACUCCUGUACCCAUGACCUUGCCUAAGCCUCCAUUCCUUCUACCUGGAUCCAGGAUGCUCUUCCCCCAUCACUGCCAGAGUCAAGCUAGCCCUUCAGAUUCAACUACAUCAUGAUUUAUACUGUUUUGGGGGACACAGCAAUUAUUUGCCUGAUGUCUACAUCUCCUACCCACUGAAAACUCCAUGAAGGAAGGUAAAAAGCUGAGUUUGUUCACCAAUGAAUCCCCUGCACCUAACACAGACUGUACAGAGGCCCUUGUGAGGAGUUUGAGUUUUAUUUUAAGUUUAACAGAAAACCUUCGAAAAUUCUUACACAGGAGGUGAUGAGCUCACACUUAUUGUCAGUGACUUAUUGAACAACCAAAACCCAAGAGAAUAAAAAUAUUAAAAGUUU